AAAUAGUUAAAAAAUAGUUUUAAAACGUUUAAAAUAAUUUGCUUAUUGUCACUAAAAUUCUUGAUUUCCCUCUUUCAGAGCAGGUUUGUUGAUGGUGACCAUGUCCCAGUAGGAAGGGCACUUUAGCAGCUCAGGCCGGUGUCCAGGAUGAGCCCAGAAUUCCUCUUUCCCAGAGAAUUCCCUGCUGGCAGCAGCCUGCCCUCCCCAGGGCACACGGCGUGUGGGAUGUGCCUUUCUUUGGUGACCUUGGAUGGAUUUUUCUUCCAUGAACUCACCCAGGUCCUUCUACAGACCAAGCAGGAACUGGUACUUCCAGACUGGUACCAAAGAGAAUAUUGUGACUGAACAUCAGCUCUGCAAAACAAAAGGAGGUUGGCUGCAGUUUGAUUUAUGUGGAGAGACUCAGGCAAAUUCUGCACCAGCCACAACAUUCAUUAUGCAAAGGGAAAGCGCCGGGCUGCUAACACAGGGAGCUGGGAAAACACGGACCGGAUUCCUGCUGGAGUCCGGAAUGGAGUCGGCAAAAGUGAAAAUUUGGACUAGAUUUCUCCAAGGUUCCGGAAUGGAGUCGGAAAAAUGGAAAACCCGGGCAGGAUUCCAGCCGGAGUCUGGAGUGGAGUCAGCAAAAGGGAAAACCUAG
rnacentral:lncRNA from 1 species